rnacentral:rRNA from 1 species
AGCGAACGCUGGCGGCAGGCCUAACACAUGCAAGUCGAACGAACCUUUCGGGGUUAGUGGCGGACGGGUGAGUAACACGUGGGAACGUGCCUUUAGGUUCGGAAUAACUCAGGGAAACUUGUGCUAAUACCGAAUGUGCCCUUCGGGGGAAAGAUUUAUCGCCUUUAGAGCGGCCCGCGUCUGAUUAGCUAGUUGGUUGAGGUAAUGGCUCACCAAGGCGACGAUCAGUAGCUGGUCUGAGAGGAUGAUCAGCCACAUUGGGACUGAGACACGGCCCAAACUCCUACGGGAGGCAGCAGUGGGGAAUCUUGCGCAAUGGGCGAGAGCCUGACGCAGCCAUGCCGCGUGAAUGAUGAAGGUCUUAGGAUUGUAAAAUUCUUUCACCGGGGACGAUAAUGACGGUACCCGGAGAAGAAGCCCCGGCUAACUUCGUG